GGAUGUGUGAGUAGGUGGUUCUACUAUUUGAUUGCAGAUCAAAAUUUUUAGGUUCGAUUCCUACAUAUCUC
rfam:Sclerotinia sclerotiorum 1980 TF-70 mitochondrion, complete genome.